AUACGGAGGGUGCAAGCGUUAUCCGGAAUCAUUGGGUUUAAAGGGUCCGUAGGCGGGCAAAUAAGUCAGAGGUGAAAUCCCACAGCUCAACUGUGGAACUGCCUUUGAUACUGUUUGUCUCGAGUUAUAGUGAAGUAGAUAGAAUAUGUAGUGUAGCGGUGAAAUGCAUAGAUAUUACAUAGAAUACCGAUUGCGAAGGCAGUCUACUAACUAUUGACUGACGCUAAUGGACGAAAGCGUGGGGAGCGAACAGGAUUAGAAACCCUAGUAGUCC
rnacentral:rRNA from 1 species